rnacentral:lncRNA from 1 species
UGUAUGUAUAUAUAUGUAUGUAUGUAUAUAUAUGUAUGUAUAUAUAUGUAUGUAUAUGUAUAUAUAUACAGACUUAUAAGUCCUUAAGUAUUGUUACUCUUGAAUGAUCUGUUUUUAUCUCUGGUUCAGUCCUUUUCAGUACAGUGUGUGUAUACAUUAUAGGUUCCUGCGUACAGAUUGUCUUGAAAGUUGUUUGCCAUUUACUUGAUGGUAUUGAUUUAUUGGAUAUUUUAUAGUGUUGGAUGUAUGUACCAUGAGUAACAUUACCAAGAUAUCACUUUUUUUGGUAUGUGCCGUGUAAUGGUUCAAUAUGUUUUUUUCCUGGUUUGUCCUGUUUUUUUGUUGUUGUUGUAAUGCACAACAUAUACUUGAAUGAGACAAACUAGGAUAUUCUGUAGUUAUUUAAACAGGGUACCUGUAUUUUUUAGUACCUCGUUACAUUAGUUUUUGUUUGAUCUUAUUACAAAAAAUAUUAUAUGGGAGAAAAAAAAUGAACAUUUCAGUAUUUUUUUAAGGUCAACAGUUGCUAUGAGAAAGAGAAUAUCCAUCUGAACCCUUGUACAUUACAGAAGAUCUGUACAUUUAUGAAUAAAAGUCUACAAACGUGUUCAUUUUUCAUGUGUAGAUUGUACACCCAUUUGUGAUCCCAACUUUCGUUAGCUCGUUUGACAUAUUUUACACCCUCCCCACUCCUAACACACACACACACCACAAAUCAUUCAUGUCUGAAACUUGAUGUUAUAUACUUUUAAAACCACAUUCCCCUCUACUUCUUAAAAUUAGGGUCUGUAGUGUGUUUGAUGCCCCCAUCCCAUGUGUCUCUCUCCUUUGAUCAGUCCUCUGUCAUCUUCUGAUGUUGCUAUAUUCAAAUUUGGUUACAUUUACUUGUUUCCUUUACAGUUCGAUGGGCACAUCUGACAGACUGACUGCUUUAUAAUUAUUUUUUUCAUUCUUUUAUAGACACAACUUCAAACAUUAUUAUUAAGUUGUAGAACAGGGAGCCAUACAAAUAGACUGAAUGUGAUUAAGACAUGUUGG